rnacentral:rRNA from 1 species
AGUAGUACGUAGUGGUAGUUUGUACUCCGUGGCUACGAGGAUAGAACGCUGGGCGGGCGGUGCCUACAAACAUGCAAGUCGGAGGCGGGGCUAUGUAAUAUCGCAAGGUAGAACAUAGCCUAGCGGCGAACGGGUGAGUAACACGUGGGUAACCUGCCUGGAAGACAGGGAUAACGAUUCGAAAGGGUCGCUAAUACCUGAUAAUAUCCUUUCAUCGCAUGGUGAUAGGAAGAAAGGGGAAACCCGCUUUCAGAUGGGCCCGCGUCCCAUCAGCUAGUUGGUAAGGUAAAGGCUUACCAAGGCGACGACGGGUAGCCGGUCUGAGAGGAUGUACGGCCACACUGGGACUGAGAUACGGCCCAGACUCCUACGGGAGGCAGCAGUUGGGAAUCUUAGGCAAUGGACGAAAGUCUGACCUAGCGACGCCGCGUGAGGGAAGAAGGCCUUCGGGUUGUAAACCUCUGUCAUGGGGGAAGAAGUAAGUGACGGUACCCCAAGAGGAAGCCCCUGCUAACUACGUG